AAAAUUGCAAAAAACAAGCAUUUGUGAAAUAUUAAUUAGCUAAUGAAUGUGAUUAGAAACACUAGUUUGGGUGCGACCAGAUAUGGAAAAAAAAAAUUCAUCAAAUCCCUGUGCUGUGGGACUGAUUUGUCCAUUGGACUACAUGCCACAAAUAAAGGAUUGGACAAUUCAAUCCGGUCCUAAGUUUCUUCCUGGGUUUGCAAAGCACCACUAGCUAUCACAUAUAAACUAAAAUACAUCCACUUCAACAAAAAUAAAUAAUUUAAGCAUAAAUGAAUCAAAAACCAAAAGUUAAGACCAAGCAGUCAAUUAUUUAAUGAAACAUAGAGAAAGUAGAUGAAUUUUAUAAACCACCCUACCAAGAAAAUAGGGGAAAAAAAGCUAGAAGAGAAAUUCUUUUUUCAAUUGUUUUUGAUUUAUUAACUCAAAAGAAAUGUGCAAAUCGUGGAUAAGGAAUCGAACAUUGACUUUUUGAAGAAAACACAGAAUCAUUACACUCUAGUCUAGGAAAAUAUUCAACAUACCAAUAAUUCCUUUAAAUAAAUUAACCGAAAGCAAACAAACCCUCAUCCCAGUUAAAAGUUAAAAGCCUCACUAGUCCUAGAAGUCCUUGACAGGGUUGGUUAUACAAUUAACUAUCCAAAUGAAUAUCCUUUACAGUACAGCAUGAUAAUUUCAAUUUGCAGGUGGACUCAUCAGAUGGUUAUUAGUUGAUAUUGCCCACCAAUCAAAAACCAAAAGUUAAGACCAAGCAGUCAAUUAUUUAAUGAAACAUAGAGAACGUAGAUGAAUUUUAUAAACCACCCUACCAAGAAAAUAGGGGAAAAAAAGCUAGAAGAGAAAUUCUUUUUUCAAUUGUUUUCGAUUUAUUAACUCAAAAGAAAUGUGCAAAUCGUGGAUAAGGAAUCGAACAUUGACUUUUUGAAGAAAACACAGAAUCAUUACACUCUAGUCUAGGAAAAUAUUCAACAUACCAAUAAUUCCUUUAAAUAAAUUAACCGAAAGCAAACAAACCCUCAUCCCAGUUAAAAGUUAAAAGCCUCACUAGUCCUAGAAGUCCUUGACAGGGUUGGUUAUACAAUUAACUAUCCAAAUGAAUAUCCUUUACAGUACAGCAUGAUAAUUUCAAUUUGCAGGUGGACUCAUCAGAUGGUUAUUAGUUGAUAUUGCCCACCAAUCAAAAACCAAAAGUUAAGACCAAGCAGUCAAUUAUUUAAUGAAACAUAGAGAAAGUAGAUGAAUUUUAUAAACCACCCUACCAAGAAAAUAGGGGAAAAAAAGCUAGAAGAGAAAUUCUUUUUUCAAUUGUUUUCGAUUUAUUAACUCAAAAGAAAUGUGCAAAUCGUGGAUAAGGAAUCGAACAUUGACUUUUUGAAGAAAACACAGAAUCAUUACACUCUAGUCUAGGAAAAUAUUCAACAUACCAAUAAUUCCUUUAAAUAAAUUAACCGAAAGCAAACAAACCCUCAUCCCAGUUAAAAGUUAAAAGCCUCACUAGUCCUAGAAGUCCUUGACAGGGUUGGUUAUACAAUUAACUAUCCAAAUGAAUAUCCUUUACAGUACAGCAUGAUAAUUUCAAUUUGCAGGUGGACUGAUCAGAUGGUUAUUAGUUGAUAUUGCCCACCUAU